rnacentral:rRNA from 1 species
UUGCACAAAGGGCGAAAGCCCGACGCAGCCAUGCCGGGGGUAAGAAGAAGGCCUUCGGGUUGUAAAGUACUUUCAGUGGGGGGGAAGGGGGUAUAGUUAAUAGCGGCAUCUCUUGACGUUAGCAACAGAAGAAGCACCGGCUAACUCCGUGCCAGCAGCCGCGGUAAUACGGAGGGUGCGAGCGUUAAUCGGAAUUACUGGGCGUAAAGCGCAUGCAGGUGGUUCAUUAAGUCAGAUGUGAAAGCCCGGGGCUCAACCUCGGAACUGCAUUUGAAACUGGUGAACUAGAGUACUGUAGAGGGGGGUAGAAUUUCAGGUGUAGCGGUGAAAUGCGUAGAGAUCUGAAGGAAUACCAGUGGCGAAGGCGGCCCCCUGGACAGAUACUGACACUCAGAUGCGAAAGCGUGGGGAGCAAACAGGAUUAGAUACCCUGGUAGUCCACGCCGUAAACGAUGUCUACUUGGAGGUUGUGGCCUUGAGCCGUGGCUUUCGGAGCUAACGCGUUAAGUAGACCGCCUGGGGAGUACGGUCGCAAGAUUAAAACUCAAAUGAAUUGACGGGGGCCCGCACAAGCGGUGGAGCAUGUGGUUUAAUUCGAUGCAACGCGAAGAACCUUACCUACUCUUGACAUCCAGAGAAGCCAGCGGAGACGCAGGUGUGCCUUCGGGAGCUCUGAGACAGGUGCUGCAUGGCUGUCGUCAGCUCGUGUUGUGAAAUGUUGGGUUAAGUCCCGCAACGAGCGCAACCCUUAUCCUUGUUUGCCAGCGAGUAAUGUCGGGAACUCCAGGGAGACUGCCGGUGAUAAACCGGAGGAAGGUGGGGACGACGUCAAGUCAUCAUGGCCCUUACGAGUAGGGCUACACACGUGCUACAAUGGCGCAUACAGAGGGCAGCAAGCCAGCGAUGGUGAGCGAAUCCCAAAAAGUGCGUCGUAGUCCGGAUUGGAGUCUGCAACUCGACUCCAUGAAGUCGGAAUCGCUAGUAAUCGUAGAUCAGAAUGCUACGGUGAAUACGUUCCCGGGCCUUGUACACACCGCCCGUCACACCAUGGGAGUGGGCUGCAAAAGAAGUGGGUAGUUUAACCUUUCGGGGAGGACGCUCACCACUUGGUCUUG